UACGUAGGGGGCGAGCGUUGUUCGGAGUUACUGGGCGUAAAGAGCGCGCAGGCGGUCGUUCAAGUCGCGUGUGAAAGCCCCCGGCUCAACUGGGGAGGGUCACGCGAUACUGAUCGACUCGAAGGCAGGAGAGGGUAGUGGAAUUCCCGGUGUAGUGGUGAAAUGCGUAGAUAUCGGGAGGAACACCAGUGGCGAAGGCGACUACCUGGCCUGUUCUUGACGCUGAGGCGCGAAAGCUAGGGGAGCAAACGGG
rnacentral:rRNA from 1 species